GACGAACGCUGGCGGCGUGCUUAACACAUGCAAGUCGAACGGAAAGGCCCUGCUUUUGUGGGGUGCUCGAGUGGCGAACGGGUGAGUAACACGUGAGUAACCUACCCUUGACUUUGGGAUAACUUCAGGAAACUGGGGCUAAUACCGGAUAGGAUCUCCUGCUGCAUGGUGGGGGUUGGAAAUUUUCGGCGGUUGGGGAUGGACUCGCGGCUUAUCAGCUUGUUGGUGGGGUAGUGGCUUACCAAGGCUUUGACGGGUAGCCGGCCUGAGAGGGUGACCGGCCACAUUGGGACUGAGAUACGGCCCAGACUCCUACGGGAGGCAGCAGUGGGGAAUAUUGCACAAUGGGCGGAAGCCUGAUGCAGCAACGCCGCGUGCGGGAUGACGGCCUUCGGGUUGUAAACCGCUUUCGCCUGUGACGAAGCGUGAGUGACGGUAAUGGGUAAAGAAGCACCGGCUAACUACGUG
rnacentral:rRNA from 1 species